GGAGAGAUGGCCGAGUUGGUUAUGGCGUCAGGUUAAGGCUACAGUCUUGACACUACGUUUCCUGAUGGGGCAACCCGCGUGGGUUCGAAUCCCACUCUCUUCA
rnacentral:tRNA from 1 species